GUCGCGGGGGCCGCAUUCAAAUUCGUCAGCAUACUCCUCAGCAGUUCGGGCUCCAUUCCCCCAGACCGAAUGGGAAGACAGAGCGUGCAGCACAAAAAAUGUUGAAAGAUGGCGUCAAAUGUGGACGGAAGCACAGGGAUUGCUGGGAUGCGAACUGAUGCACCACGGGGCAUUGGGACAGGACCCAGAAUGCCCCGCCCCCUUCCCACAAG